AAGCCCGUGCAAUGGUGCGUUUACCCGAAAGGAAACGGCGUUUGUGUAAAACGCAGGACACCUAAAGCACGGGUUUUU
rnacentral:ncRNA from 1 species